rfam:Madurella mycetomatis strain mm55 MMYC01_Sc2010, whole genome shotgun sequence.
UCUUCCGUAGUAUAGUGGUCAGUAUGUGAGCUUGUCACCUAAACUGACAUCGCUCGAGACCCGGGUUCAAUUCCCGGCGGGAGAG